AUGGGUAUGCAGGCUCUGAUGGAUGUCCGGUGCACGAACCUUGUCAACCCUAUAUGCGACUGGCUUGGUGAGAUCUACGAGCCUGCCUCCAGAGAAUUCGUGAUUCCGGGACGCGGAAGACUUCCGUUGAACGAGGAAUCCGUGUUCUGCACUUUGGGUGUGCCUCGUGGACAUAUCAAAGUCCCAUACGAGGUCAAUAAUGAGAUCGAGGAAGCGCUGUUUGCCCGUUUGUUUCCUGGAUUGGAGUCCAUGCCGAACACGUCUGUACUGGCAGAUUCGCUGCAGGCCAUGACGACGCACGGAGAUGUUUUCAAGAUGAAGCUACUCAUGUACCUCAUCUCAGCUGUUUUCGCGCCGACCACUUCCCUUCGCCCAAGCAACAAAUGUUUCCCCAUCCUGGCGAAUCUGAAAAAUGUGAAGAACAUGAAGUGGUGUAAGUUUAUUGCCGACUUUCUCCACGAUGCUUUCAAAAACAAGAUGUACCAGAAGGGUUGUCGACUGCAUUUAAUGCUCAUGUAUGUCGACUGUCUUGAUCUGUCCACCGUGGAUUUCUCUGGGGUAGGAGGUCCGCCGCCUACGCACAAGUUUGUUGUUUCUGCGUGGACCAUCAACGCUGUCAAGGCUGUGCUUGCCGCAGACAGGGCAACUGAUACCACAUAUGGAAAACUACAGCUGAUGGCCAAGCAUGCUAUAGACUACAGCGUGUUUGGGGGGCCUAAAAAAUUUGGAAAGUGGAUGGACGUGCACUCAGCUCCGUCUUGCCCUUCUGAGGCGAGGGCACCAGUUGAGCAUCUAAUUGGGCAGUUUGCAUCCGGAAUGACCGACUUGCUCGGGAAGUUGGUUGAGGGGUGGACGUCCCUCAGUGCCUCUGGCAGCGACGCGGUUGCGAGGCAGUUCACUUCAUUUGUCCCAGAACAUACACAUCGAUCAACCGGUUGUCGUGGCCGGUAUGACUACAACAGUUCCCAAGAGCCCGAUGACACACAAGAUGAUGUAGAUGGAGACGCUGGCCUCAGCAAGGAUGACGACGAUGACAUGGAUAAUGUGCAUCAGGACACGGAUGACGAUGAACAUGCUGAAGUUCGCACAGGCGGCAACAAGGGCAAGGAUGCAACAGAUGCCCCCCCACCAGAGAAAGUG
rnacentral:rRNA from 1 species